CGCUUGCGCAAUUCAUGGGCUGGAGCUCGCCUUAGAAAGUAGGUGGGCUUGAUAAUUUCUGGCCUCCCUCGCACCGCCCGUGGUUGCCAGGACAACACAGCACCUGUACAACUCACCCCCUGAAGAGGCCCAGGUGCUGCUGCCAGCUGAUUCCGGGAUGUCACUGGGAAGAUGGGAAGUCCAGCAUCCUCCGAACCCUUCAAAUCUCCCAAGAGCCUCCUCCAGCCAAAGUGGGGAGGGAGAAAGGACUUAGGCCAAAGCCAAAGAGGAAGUUCCUUCUCAGGGGAAUUGGGUAAAUGCCACACUUGUCCUCAACUUUCACAUGAAUCUGGUUCUAAGUAGCUUAGCAGUUCUGAAUGAUUACAGAAACAUGGCCAAUUUUUCUGAGCUCAUCAGAACAUGUACAAUAUCAAUUUGAGGGACUUUUUGAAUUUAAUAAUAAUAAAAACCAGAAUAUAGAUAGCAUUUGAAGGUUUGUAAAGUGAUUUAUAUUAUGUCAUUUUAUCUGCACAACAACCCUGGGAGAUAGGGGCUAUUAUUAUCCAGGUACAGAUGAGAAAAUUGAGGCAAACUAAAAUUAAGUGACUUGCCCAAGAUCAUACAGGUAAUGAAUGUCUGAAACUGGAUUUGAAUUCAGGUCUUCCUGGCUCCUGGGCCAGUACUCUACCCAUAACAUAUACAGGCUAAAAUGAGGUGGGCUGGUUUUGACCCUUCCCUCACAGUAGCAUGGGGAAAUGGGAGAGACAAUAUUGUAUAUAGCAAUUGGACCAGUAUGGUAUAUAUGAAAGUCAAUGAUGUAAAAAUCCAUUUAGAAAGAAAUAGAGCAACUACUUUGUGAGCAGCUUUAAAGUUCCACUAAAGUAAUUUGUGCUUUAUCCUUGAGUCAGUAGAACAUUUCCUGGAGCUUUUUUGAUCAAAGGGAUAUUUUAAGAGUUAUCAUUUCAGCAGCUUUGUGGAGAAUGGAUUAUGGAGAGGGAAAACUUGAGGCAGAGAGACUGAGAAGCCUGCUUCAACAAAGAGAUACAAAUGCCAAGGACUUAAAUUGGAGUAGGAGUUACAGGGAUGAAAAAAUGGGGUGGAAUCAAGACCUAACAACUUAUUGGAUUUAUAUAUGUGUGUAUGUAACUGAUUGGAGGGAGCAGGAAUUGUCAGGAAUGAUUCCACAAUUGUAAACCUGGGUAAUUGAAAGGAUAAUGGUCUUUUUUUUUUCUCAUUAGUAAUUGAAUGUGAAGAUAUUUUCAACAUUCAUUUUUGUAGGAUUUUGAGUUCCAAAUUUUUUUUCUCUUCCCUCACUUCCCUCCUCCCCAAGACAGUAAGCAAUCUGAUGUAGAUUAUACAUAUACAAUCCUUUUAAAUAUAUUUCCAUAUUUGUCAUGUUAUGAUCAAAAGGAAAAAAAAACUACAAGAAAGAAAAGGCAAACAAAAAAAUGAAAAUACUAUAUUUCCAUCCACAUCCUGUCUCCAUAGUUCUUUGUCUGGGUACCGACAAUAUUUUAAAGAUGAUGAUACUCUUAAUAUGAAAUAGGAAAGUUGGAAAGUAGGAGAGGAUUUAUGGGAAAGAUAAUGAGUUCCAUAUUAGACGUGCUAGAUUUGAGAUACCUUUGGGGUUAUCCCUAUGGUCCAGCAGGAGGUUGGUGAUAUGGCCCUGAAGCUCAGGGGAAAGAUGAAAGUAGACUAUGUAGAUUUGGAAGUCAGCUACAUAGAGAUGACAAUUAAAUCCAUGGAAGCUGAUGAGAUCACCUAGAUAGAAAGCUAUAGAGAGUGAAGGGAGGCACCCCUCCAAAAAAUAAAGAAGGUCCCAGCUAGAUUCCUGGAAUAUAUCAAGGAGAGGACACAGGACGGAUGAAAAUCCUGUAGAGGAAACUGAUACAGACGCAUAUUCAAUAGUUCAGAAGAAAACCAGGUUAGAUCAGUGACCUGAAAUGCCAGACAAGAGAGACCAUGUCAUUGGUAUCAGAUGAUGCAGAAAGAUUGAGAAGGAUAAGGACUUAGAUAAGACCGACCCUUGGCAAUCUUGGCAAUGUGUCUCAGCUCAGUGAUGGAAUCAGAAGCCAGCCUGAAAAGGGCUACAAAGAAGAGGGGAUGAUGAGGAAGUCCAAGAAUGAGCAAUGGUAACUCCAAAUUAGCUGCUUCUAAGAGUUUGGUUUGUGAAAAAGAGGAAACAUGAGAGGAUAGAGUCAAGGGAAGGCAUUCUAAGAAUGGAAAUCUAAGCAUUUUUGUAGGUAGCAAGAAAGGAACUAGUGGAUGUAAGGAAAUUGAAGAUUAGAAAGGAAAUGAUUGAAGCCAAGUCCCUGGAGAAUAUGAGAAGGAAUGGGAUUGAAAGCACAAGAAGAGGGAUUAGCCUCGGCAAGAAGGACCACCUUUUCCUUUAAGACAAGAGCAAAGGAGGAGAAAAUGGAGCAUGGUAUUGAAGGGACCGGAAUAUAGAAUUGGGGGAAAAUGGGAUAAAUGCAUAAUAAAUAGUUUCCAUUUUCUCAGAACAGUAUGAUAGAAGGUUCCCUGCAGAAAGGGAGUUAUGAGAAUGUGGUCUAGGUAGCUUUAAUAGAAGAGAAGGUCUGAAAUAGCUGCUGUAGUAAAUGGAUUACUAUAAAUCACUGAGGGCCUGGUUGAAAUAAGAUAAAGUAAGUUAGUAACAUUAUUGUGUGAAUUGCAAUGGUAGCAUUCAAUAACUUGCAAGUUCUAAUGAAGAAGGUAGAUGGAGAGGGUCAUUCAACAUUAGAACUUAGAAAGAAGGUGUUGCGAUAAAACAGUGGGGUGAGAAAUUCAAGGGUUAGAGUACAAUGUUAAGUUCAACUGGCUAAUUGUAGGGUCAAGACUGGAAAGGGAAAAAGGAAGCCAAAAAAGGGGCACUGGGCUGAGAAAGUUGGAGAGUGACUGAAGCAUGUGAUGAGGUUUAAGAGUUGUUUGGGAGGAAUACAUCAGGGAAAAAAAGAAGGAAAAUAGUUAUAGUCUCAGAGAAGAAUCUCAGAGUUCUGGAUGGCAAGGUAUAUUUUUCUUCACUGAAGUGUUUCUGUUCAGUAGAAUAUUAAUAUCAAUAAAUUCCAAAUAAUUUCUUUCAAAUAAAGCUUCACUUUAAUGGCUUAAUUUUUUUUUUUGGGGGGGGGGCAGUCAAGAUUCGUGAACUUGCUCAGGUAGUAAAUAUCUGAGGCUGAACUUGAACUUAGGGCCUCCUGACUAAACUUCCCCACCUCACUGCCCCAUAACAUAUGAUUUUCAAAUCAAUAAGUAUUCAUCAAGAGCCUCUGGAUCCAGUGAUGAUAACACAAAAGGCACCUUCAUUUUAAAGUCAAAGAGAGAGCAGAUUGGCGUGUGUGACUGAUUUGUAAGAUGGUGGAAAAGGGAAAACUAUGGAGUAAUAACCAUGAUUGACUAACCCUCUCUCCCAACCCUAUCAUGUCAUCAAGUCUUAUCAGUUCUUUGUUAGCUGGGGCUUCUUAUGUUUGCCUGUUUGUCUUGAUUCAUAGCCAUCAACCUAAUUCAGUUUUUAAGCCCCUUCUCCUUAAUGACUGUAAACAACAUGGCACCAUAUCAAUCUAACCUAUGUAUCAUAGUAUUAAUAACAGAUUAAUAUUUCUAAAACAUUCCUCCCCCUAUCAGAAACCUAAAAUCACUCCCAGUUUAUAUAUAAAAUCCUAGAAAUCACAAUAAUUUAGAACAGAAAGGAUGCUCAAUCCAACCUCAAUUUUCAUACGAGAAAACAGACCUCACAGAAAUGAAGCAGUUUGGCUGGAGUCACACAUAUAAUCUGUGACAAAGCCAAGGCUAAAAUUCUUCAGCCUGACAUUUAAAACCCAGGGCCUCCUUUCCUAAUACAACCUAUUCUUUUGCUAAUCCCUAAAUUAGGCUGAUCUAUUUACUGUCUCUGGGAAAUAAUCUUGCUUAAACAACAAAUAUUUCAAGGCACUCUGCUGCCUUUGCUCCUGUGCACUAAUACCCAUGCUAUCCCUUUAGAAUGCCAGAAUUUUUAAAUUAUAGCUUGAAACUGACCUUGGUCAUGAAAUUUUCCCCAACACUGUUCCAUCACUGAUCUUUCCCUUCCUCUGAAUGUAUCUUAGUAGUUAGAUAUGUCAUCUUUGCUCCACCAAUGUGUAAUUAUUUAUGUAACUAUAUAUACUACACAUAGAUAUGACAUCUACCUGUCACCUGUGUCUCCAAGAAGCUAUAGCCUUGCCCAGCAGCCACAUCCAAGCAAACCAUCUUGGCAGACGGGAUAAACUGACCCUCAAACCCUUGGUGGGUUAAGGGAUUAUCUACCUAAGCAUGUGAAGACUUGUGCAGGUGGAAUGAACAGGUGGGAACAGUUUGUUCCAGCAGCCACAAAGAUGCAUCUUUGUGGCUGCUUUGAGCUUGGCCAUUGCCAGGCUUCUGUGACUGGACUUUGAUGACUCACUUAGAAAGUGAGAGGCACAACUUUGUGCAGCUUUCCCAUACUUAAAUUCAAUUUACUGGCCAGUCACUCUGUGAUGUCAUUGAUUCUCUUCAAUACAAAGAAAAACAGAGGCAAGAGGGAUGAGAUUGGAAUGCACUGGGAGAAAGGGAAUAGGAGAAGUGGAAUGGUGCAAAUUAUCUGCCAUUUUAAAGAGGCAAAAAAAGGCUUUUACAGUGGAGGGAAUGAGCAGGAGAACAGGGGGAGUGAGUGAAUCUUACUCUAGUCAGAAAUGAAUCAAAGAGGAAAUAUUUAGGAGGGGGUAUCUCUCUUAUCCUGCAGGGAAAUUGGAGGGGAAUGGGAUAUGGAAAGGAGAAAGGGUAACAAAAGAGAGGACAUAUUGGAGGAGGUAGUGGCCAGUACCAGGAACAGAGUAAAAGGAGAGAGGAAAAAAAGGGGGAAAAAAAGUUAGCAAUAGUAAUUAUAAAAGGAAUUUUGAAGCAAGUUUCUCUGAUAAGGUCUAAUUUUUCAAACAGAAGGAACUGAAUCAAAUUUAUAAAAAAUAUGAACCAUGCCCCAAUUGAUAAAUGAUCAAAAGAUAUGAUCUGUACCCCCAGGACUAUAAAUUCAUACAUUUUCUUUGACCUAAUAAUACCACUGCUAGGCAUGAAUACCAAAAAGAGAUUAAAAAAAAAAAAAAAAAAAGGAAAAUGACCUAUAUAUACAAAAGGUAUUCAUAGCAACUUUCUUCUCAGGGCAAAAAAAUUGGAAAUGGAGGAAAUGUCUAUCAAUUAGAGAAUGGCUCAAUAUACUGUGGUAUGUGUUUGUGAUGGAAUAUUAUUCUAUGGGAAAUGAUGAUGAGGAUGCUCUCAGAAACAAAAACCUGGAGAGUCCUCCAUGAAUUCAAGUACAGUGAAAUGUAUUGUAAACAAAAUAA